rnacentral:misc_RNA from 1 species
GCAAACUUGGUCAUUUAGAGGAAGUAAAAGUCGUAACAAGGUUUCCGUAGGUGAACCUGCGGAAGGAUCAUUAGUUAUGCAGCCUGAGUCCCUCAGGGGAUAGGGCAAUCGCAUCCAGGCCCACCUCACGUCACGCCGCGGCCCCUGGGCCGCGGUGAGUCUGGGGGCGGAGUCGCAACCCUUUGUGAACCUUUCACCUUCUGCUUCGGCAGCACGUGUUCCCUUCCCUCGGGAGAGGCCACGGUAAGGCUGCCGAUAGCCCAUGUUGAAUUCAUUCUGUCCUUUGAACUUUUAGAGUCUGAUUUUGAAAUUGAAAAUAAUUCAAACAAAUUAAAACUUUCAGCAACGGAUCUCUUGGUUCCCGCAUCGAUGAAGAACGCAGC